UUUAUAUAUAUAUAAAUCAGAUAAAAAAAUCAAAAUAAAGUUUAAUUAAUAAGAACCGGUUAUCUAUUAAACUCUCAAAGAUCGAUUUGAGAUGUAUAAGUGAGAAAGAAAUUAGACAUAACUGAAGAGUAGAAUUCUUGAACCACUUUACGUCUCAAAGGUCACUUUGCGCUGCGCUGAACUUAAUCUAAUUUCUUUAAUAGAUAUCUUUUCAGACAUCUCUCAUUUUUAUCUUUGGCUAUUUUUUCUAAUGAAAAAAUUUCGUAAAGUGGUUAAAAAAAAUUGCAAUAGUUAGCUUGUCGUUAAAGAUAUCAAAUUUUACGAUAUGGAUCGGUUUUUACAUCGAUUAUAAAUUUAACUCUGUGUGUGUUUUCGCUUAUUAUCGAUCGGAAGACAUAUCGCGAUUCGAGAAAAAAGUGCGGAAGUUCAACAGUUCUUGUUCCUUUUUCCUUUAAAAUUAUUCCUAUUUAUAAGUCAGUCGAGCGACAUAGAAAUGUUUGCUUUCUUUAUAGUUGUUUGUGUUUUUACAACGAUAUUUUUUCUUGGAUCCAUUGGAAAAACGUCAUUACGACUGUUGUAUCAAUGCUGGAUCACGUCUAACCAAAUGAACUUUAUCUUGAUUUCACUGUUCCACUUUUGUCUUUUUUUAUCAACAUAUGCGUUAGAUGAAGUUGAUAAAAAAAGGGAAAAUUUUGCACGUCAUAUUUUUAUUUAAAUUUUUUUUGAUACUAUAGGAUAUUGAAAAGUCCUGCACCAUAGACCAAAUCAUAUUAUUUAUUUCAAUAUGUCUGCC
rnacentral:lncRNA from 1 species